AUACUUACCUGAUAGGGGAGGUGCCAUGAACGUGAAGGCGAUUUUUCCCAGGGAGAGGAUUAUCCAUUGCACUCUGGGUAUGUUGAUCUCUGAGAUUUCUCCAAAUGUGAGAAACUUGACUGUGUAGGAU
ensembl:snRNA LOC120096763 U1 spliceosomal RNA